AGUGAACGCUGGCGGCGUGCCUAAUACAUGCAAGUCGAACGGGUGGCGGACGGGUGAGUAAUGUCUUGGAAACUGCCUGAUGGAGGGGGAUAACUACUGGAAACGGUGGCUAAUACCGCAUACCAUCGGAUGUGCCCAGAUGGGAUUAGCUAGUAGGGGGGGUAAAGGCUCACCUAGGCGACGAUCCCUAGCUGGUCUGAGAGGAUGACCGGCCACACUGGAACUGAGACACGGUCCAGACUCCUACGGGAGGCAGCAGUGGGGAAUAUUGCGCAAUGGGCGAAAGCCUGAUGCAGCAAUGCCGCGUGUAUGAAGAAGGCCUUCGGGUUGUAAAGUACUUUCGGCGGGGAGGCGUUACCCGCCGAAGAAGCACCGGCUAACUCCGUGCCAGCAGCCGCGGUAAUUC
rnacentral:rRNA from 1 species